rnacentral:rRNA from 1 species
AUGCCCACGCAGCAGCUCACGACAUUCCAGCUGCUCCCGCCCGCCCACGCGCACGGCGACCGGCGACAGUACCAGCACCAGCACCAGCAGCAGCAGCUCGCCUGCGGCGGCGGAGGAGGAGGCCUGUGGGACCCGGCGUCGGUGCUCGACCGCCGGGCCAGCCCCGCCGCGCAUCCCACGCUGUCUUCCCCCUCGUCCCUGCCCGCCGGCGUGGCGGCCCUCGCCAAGAACGUGUCCGCGGCCCCGCCGGCGCAGGCGCAGGCGCAGGCAUGGCCGCCGCCACCGGACGACGACGCCAAGGACGACUGGGUGCACCACCUGCCGCCCCUCGACAUGGCCGGCUGGGGCGACCCCCACGCCGCCGCGAUGCAGGACCAGGGCCAGGGCCACCCGCACCCGCCGCCCUCCUCGCAGGACAGCACCUUCCUCCGCUGGAUCAUCGGCGGCGGGGACGACGACGACGACGACGACGGCUCCGGGCCCGCCAUGGACGGCGCCGACCCCCCGGAUCUUGACCUCGACCGCAUCACCAUGCUCCCCCGCCACCCGCCGCUCAUGGGGGGCGCGGGCCACGGCCUCCCGUUCACGCUCGCCGGCGAGGACGCCAAGCAGCAGUUCCGCCCCUCGCCGGGCGCCGCCCUGCAUCAGCAGCAGCACCACCUGCCGCACGCGUUCCACGGCGGCGCGUUCCCUUCCUUCGACGCGCCGGCGCCGGCGAAGCGGCACCCGAUGGCCGGCGCGGCGCCGCCCAAGCUGGCCCCCUUCGCCGGCCACGGCGCUGCGGCCGCCCUGAAGCCCAAGGCGGAGGCGCCGGCCGACGACGGCGCGGCCGCGGCGGCGGUGGACCAGCUCACCGAGGCGGCCAGGCUCGUCGAGGCCGGCGACGCCUACGGCGCGCGCGAGAUAUUGGCACGGCUCAAUCACCGGCUCCCCGCCGCCCCAGCGGCCGGGACGCCGCUCCUCCGCUCCGCCUUCUACUUCAAGGAGGCUCUGAGCGUUGCCCUCGACACCACCGGCGCCCACGCCUCGUCGGCGGCCGUGGCGUCCACGCCCGUCGACGUCCUCCUAAAGCUCGGCGCCUACAAGGCCUUCUCCGAGCUCUCCCCGGUGCUCCAGUUCGCGCACUUCACCUGCGUGCAGGCCGUGCUCGACGAGCUCGGCGGCGCCGGCUGCAUCCACGUGCUCGACUUCGACAUCGGCGUCGGCGAGCAGUGGGCGUCGCUGAUGCAGGAGCUGGCGCAGCGCCGCCCCGGCGCCGCGCUCAAGGUGACCGCAUUGGUGCUGCCGUCGACGCACCACCCGCUGGAGCUGCAGCUCAUCCACGAGAACCUCGCCAACUUCGCCGCCGAGCUCGGGGUGCCCUUCCAGUUCGUCGUGUUCAACCUCGACUCCGUCGACCCCACGGAGCUCCUCGCAAUUGCCGGCGGCGACGCCAUCGCCGUGCACCUUCCCGUCGGCUCGGUUCACGCCGCCGCGGUGCCAUCGGUCCUUCACCUGGUCAGGCGGCUCGGCGCCAAGCUUGUCAUCUCGGUGGACCGCAGUGGUGACCGCGGCGAGCUGCCGUUCGCGGCGCACCUGCUCCAGGCAUUCCAGUCCUGCGCGUUCCUGCUCGAGUCCCUGGACGCCGUGGGCACCGAGCCCGACGUCGCGAGCAAGAUCGAGCGCUUCCUGAUCCAGCCAAAGAUCGAGAGCUGCGUGAUCAGGAGGCACCAGGCCGCGGCCGCCGGCGACAAGCUGCUGCCAUGGCGGACAAUGUUCACCUCGGCCGGGUUCGUGCCGGUGCACAUAAGCAACUUCGCCGAGGCGCAGGCCGACUCGCUCCUGAAGAAGGUGCCGGUGAGGGGCUUCCGCGUGGAGAAGCGCGCCGGGUCGCUGGUCCUGCAUUGGCAGCGCGCCGAGCUGGUGUCGGUGUCGGCAUGGAGGUGCUGA